AUGGGAGCUUGCUCCCUGAUGUUAGCGGCGGACGGGUGAGUAACACGUGGGUAACCUGCCUGUAAGACUGGGAUAACUCCGGGAAACCGGGGCUAAUACCGGAUGGUUGUUUGAACCGCAUGGUUCAAACAUAAAAGGUGGCUUCGGCUACCACUUACAGAUGGACCCGCGGCGCAUUAGCUAGUUGGUGAGGUAACGGCUCACCAAGGCAACGAUGCGUAGCCGACCUGAGAGGGUGAUCGGCCACACUGGGACUGAGACACGGCCCAGACUCCUACGGGAGGCAGCAGUAGGGAAUCUUCCGCAAUGGACGAAAGUCUGACGGAGCAACGCCGCGUGAGUGAUGAAGGUUUUCGGAUCGUAAAGCUCUGUUGUUAGGGAAGAACAAGUACCGUUCGAAUAGGGCGGUACCUUGACGGUACCUAACCAGAAAGCCACGGCUAACUACGUGCCAGCAGCCGCGGUAAUACGUAGGUGGCAAGCGUUCUCCGGAAUUAUUGGGCGUAAAGGGCUCGCAGGCGGUUUCUUAAGUCUGAUGUGAAAGCCCCCGGCUCAACCGGGGAGGGUCAUUGGAAACUGGGGAACUUGAGUGCAGAAGAGGAGAGUGGAAUUCCACGUGUAGCGGUGAAAUGCGUAGAGAUGUGGAGGAACACCAGUGGCGAAGGCGACUCUCUGGUCUGUAACUGACGCUGAGGAGCGAAAGCGUGGGGAGCGAACAGGAUUAGAUACCCUGGGUAGUCCACGCCGUAAACGAUGAGUGCUAAGUGUUU
rnacentral:rRNA from 2 species